rnacentral:rRNA from 1 species
UACGUAGGGUGCAAGCGUUAAUCGGAAUUACUGGGCGUAAAGCGUGCGCAGGCGGCUUUGCAAGACAGAUGUGAAAUCCCCCGGGCUUAACCUGGGAACUGCAUUUGUGACUGCAUGGCUGGAGUGCGGCAGAGGGGAUGGAAUUCCGCGUGUAGCAGUGAAAUGCGUAGAUAUGCGGAGGAACACCGAUGGCGAAGGCAGUCCCCUGGGCCUGCACUGACGCUCAUGCACGAAGCG